rnacentral:rRNA from 1 species
UACAGAGGUCUCAAGCGUUGUUCGGAGUUACUGGGCGUAAAGAGUGCGUAGGCGGUUUUCUAAGUUUGGUGUGAAAUCUCCCGGCUUAACUGGGAGGGUGCGCCGAAGACUGGAAGGCUUGAGUAUGGGAGAGGUAAGCGGAAUUCCUGGUGUAGCGGUGAAAUGCGUAGAUAUCAGGAGGAACACCUGCGGUGUAGACGGCUUACUGGACCAUAACUGACGCUGAGGCACGAAAGCGUGGGUAGCAAACAGG